rnacentral:lncRNA from 1 species
AACAGAGAUCUCUGCAGGAGUUAAAAUUCUUUUAGUUAUCGUCUUAUAAAGCCAGAUUCCCAGUUUGAAUCUGUGGCUAUUUAAAGGAUGCCAAAUUACGAUGUGAUACAAGCUCUCUACAAAAAAUAGGAAGAUCAAUCUCGUAAUAGGAUAUCAGGCACGACAUCUGGAAGAAUGUUGAGAAAAUUCUGGAGGCAAUCUUCAAUACACAUUCAAUUCUAGAGAUUUCAAGAAGCUAUCCCCUUUGGGCAUUGGAUGUAUUUUGAAACUUCAUGGAAAAAAGUUCCAUUUACAUUUUGGAGACCACAUUCCAUUGUGAUGAACUGUUAGAAAUCUUAUUGUCUACUGGAAAAGGUGAGUAUCUAUUCCAAGAUAGACAUGUCCAGUUUGGAGGCAACUUUGUGAGUUCAAGAGAUCAGGAGUUCUUGAGUCACCUCCUUUUGGAACUGAAUGGGGACAGAAGAGUAUUCUCCAGCUACUACUCUUUGAGAGACUACCAACUUGAGAUGACUAC